GCCGCGGUAGAUCAGUUGGGAGAUCGCACGGCUGAAGACCGUGUUGUCGUCGGUUCAAGUCCGACCCGCGGCACCA
rnacentral:tRNA from 1 species